rnacentral:SRP_RNA from 1 species
UACUGGUACGCUUACGAUGCUAUAUCGUGAAUUCCGUCAGGUCCGGAAGGAAGCAGCGGCAGCAAUAGAUGCAGGCGUAAGAUGUUGCUAGUGGAG